AUGCAGCAGCUGGCCGUGAAAAGUUUGCUAGAUGAUUUUGAAACGCUGCCAUAUUAUUUUAUUGGGUCGAUGGCCAAGGUCCAUGGUGCGUCCGCGGUUGCAAUGAUACGCUACUGGUUGCCAAAGUUCCUGUAUCUAGCAAAUGCUGCUAUUGCUGAAAGAAAUACUUGUGUUCUCCCUACCAUUUGUGUGGCUCAGAAUGUGAUCUUGUAUCCCAGGACUAGCAAUCUAGCAUCUCAAGGCUUCAUCUGUCUUGUGCUCGGUUAUCUGUCAAUGACCGAGCAUAUGUGUAAUGUGGCUGAUUCCAAGGACAUGGUGCAAGCUCACAACCAUGGUAAUGGCAGAUUUCCGCCUCCUUGGGUGAUUGUUGCUAUCGCAGUUCUUGGUUUUGAUAAGAUCAUGAUGUUUCCGAGGUUUGUUGCUAUCGCAGUUCUUGGUUUUGAUAAGAUCAUGAUGUUUCCGAGGAAUCCUAUAUACAUGUUCUUUCUAUCUGUGGGUUUUUUACUUGCCAAAGCUUUGGCAGUGCAGCUAGAUAUUGACAGAGAAUUCCAAAAUGGAAUGUCACAACUGAUCAGCGGAUGCGACGACCUUAGGCUGCAGAAGCUCCGGAGUCACAGCAACCACCGUCCUCUUGGUUCAGAUUACCAAACGAUCGUUGGCUUGGAACAUUUUUUCAUGCCCAUGGGUGGGUGGGGUAAACAGAGACCGCAAUAUAGUAGUAGGCCUUCUAUCACCUCCGAGCAGUAUGUCUUUAAUCAUCUCCUACUAAUUAGCAAACGGUCAAUGACUUGGGAGCAAUUUCCCAUUCCCAUAGGUGGGGUAAACAGAGAAAGCACUGCACAGUUUUGUACUUGCCUUUGGUGUAUGGAUUAUGAAAACCUCAAGUUUAAUUUUUUUAAAGUUCGAAGGAAGUUUACAUUAGAAGUUCCAAAUUUUAGUUUUUUCAACUUUCUAUUAAUAAAGAUCAGUGGCUUGGAACAAUUUUUCACGCCCAUGGGUGGGUUAGUGCUAUGCUGCCAAAAGCUCAUCUCCUACAAGUACUGUAGCAACACCGGGCAAAAAGCUUUUGUCACCUACUAUCACACUGCAAAUCAUUGUCAGGACAUGUAG
rnacentral:rRNA from 1 species